GGGGGAGGCCCUUGAGGUCCUGUCCUGCUCCUCAAAGGGGCUGGUGGGUGAUGUCCCCUCUGCUGUGGCCUCGGAUGUGACACCCUCUCUGGGUCUGUGUGGGCCUGGCAUUUCCCGGUUAAGAACAUGAGGUCCAGGAGGGGGUGGAGGGGGUCCCUCCAGCCACCACUUCGUUGGACCCCACCCCCAAAUCUGCAUUGGAUGUGACCAACCGCAGGGUCCUCGCUGCUUCCUGGACAAGCGGGGUCUGACUCGCCGGGACACCCAGGCUGGUCGUGGGGCGCCUCCUUCCUGGUACCAGCGGCCGUGCUGAGACAGCCACACGGCUCAGCUCAUCAGUGGGGCCCUGAGCUCCGGGCACUGGACGCCCCACCUUGGGUGUCCAGCCCACUGUACCUCCAGAGAGCAGCCGUGGUCCCCGGGCGUUAGCAGGUGCCUAGGUGAGAGCAGCCGGUGAGAGGGGGACAGACCGUGGCUCUAAGUCACCAACCCCUGAAACUGCCUGUGUGUCCCCGUGAGGGGUGCACGUGUGGAGCCCCUCCUCUGAUGACCUGGGACCAAGGGGAGGGUGUGGUGCCGGCUCAAAGGCACAAAUCCUUUCCUGCCCUAGGUUUCAACUCACUAAUAAGAAGCUGGUGCUCAUGGGGCCACUUUGGCUCAGAGGUGUGGCCGAGGCUGGUGGAGACCCCCUGCCCUGCACAGGUGCGGGAAAUGGCCCUACAGACACUUGCUCCGCCUCUUCCAGGACGUCCUGUCGUUGGAAUCAGACAGCGUGCAGUCCAGGUUAUCGGUGAUCGCAUGCAGUCCUUUGUGGCGCAGAAUCGCGGCCCCUCGUCUGGACCUGACCCCGCGAAGCCGCUCGCCUGCUUAGGGGCAGCAUGCUUGCUGUGGGCGUAGCCGCCCUGAACACCCAGCCGCAGGUUUUUGUGUGGCCCGGGGGCGCGGUUGCCGGGUGCAAGGAGUUUGCUUCCACCCACACUGGUGCCCGCUCGGUGCCUGGACGGCCUCCCUCCGACGCCAGGGGGGCCUCCCAGGCCCCGUCCCGUGCGGGCCGCUGUGAUGUCUCCUUCCUCGUCAGGGGCCCGACGACCCCCUCGCCAGCUCACCUGCCUGCACACCUGGCCGACCCCUCAGGCAGGACCUGGCAGGCCAGGCCCUCGGCUCUGAUCGGCCUCGGCACACGGACGUGAGGGCACGUACGUCACCUUCCGUGCCGCCGUGGAUUAAGUGCACUGUCGUGUGGCUCGGGGCCUUGGCACUGUCUGCCCCAGAACAUUUCUGGAUCACCACACAAGUCAGCUUGCUGGAAGCCGAGGCUAGACCUCGAUGGGAGCCUUAGAAAAACAAAACAUUAACAAAAUCGUGCCACCGAAGUGUCACUUCCUGGAACAAGUCUGGUGACGCAGAAACGUCUUUGGGAAAACAUUGCCUCCUCCCCACCCACCAUCCCCCCCCUUCACCGCCGUCCCCACGGCGGCUCGUGUGCGUCCCUAAGUGCCUUCUCCUUGACGGGUUCUUCCUGGCUUCUGUUAUCGGCGUCAGAGACGUGGUGAAAGUCUGGGGGAUGUUUCUCCCAGACAGAAAACGUGCCCCCCGCCCCAAGGUCUGCACGUCUAGACUCUGUUUCUUGCUCAGGCCUUCACCUCGGGCGCAGGGCUGGAGCGUAGUUGCUGGCCACGGUGCCCUGUGUGGUCUGGGUUGGGUCGCCCACCCCCCGGGGAGGCGCUGGGACAGGAGCCUACCCGUGGCUCCGGUGCCCCGGGUGGAGGCCGCCAGCCAGCACAGAGAGUCUGCAGACGGUGGUUCCUGGGGACGGGGCUGGUGGCCGUUGGGCUCGGCUGAGCACGAGAACCUUUGGACCCCAGAGUGGACUGCAGCGGGCUGCCCGCCCCCCCUCCCAGCCUGGAAGGAGCCCUGGGUGGUGGUCCCUCUCUCCUGCCCUCACUCGAAGCAGGGUGUGUGUGGCCAGGAAGCCUCGGACCCACUCCCCGGUGCCCCUGAGGCUGCGGGUGGCAGGGAGGAACCGGCCGGACGUUGGGGGCAGAGCCCGGGGGGAAGGGAGCCAUGGGCUGGGACCCGCAGGCCCCUCCCGUCAUGCUCCAGGACACGUUUGGUGCGGCCGCCUGCAUGCAGCCCGGACAUCGUGUGUGCCCGCUGGAGCAUCGGUCACCAGCCGCUUCCCCCUGCUCCUGACAGACGUCGCCUGACUUGGGGGGCAUGAGACAGACCGUGGGUUUGGAGGAAGGACCGCCAGCAGCCAGGGCUUGUGGCACUUCACGCUCUGGGCCCGGCCUCACGGGUGACCUUUGGACCCGAGCGCGAACCCGGCCAGGGUGUGGGCGGCCGCGGGGUGUGAUGCCCUUGCCCCGUGGCUCUCUGCCGUGCCGCAGGGAGGGGGGACCGGGGCUCUGGCAGAGUCGGCCCGGCCCCUUGGGAGGAACAGAGAGGAGCUCGACGGGCGCCCACUCGCCGAUGCAGGGGGAGCCUGGGGCUGUCUGCGAGGUGCUCUCACCCGCGGGCUCAGUUACUCCCAUGCACGUGCAGACGUGCAGCACGCUGCCUGUGCAUAAGCACACAAACACGGACGGCGGUGCGUCCACAGGGGUCCCCGGGUGUCAGGCAGGAACGGGCGGGAACGUCUCGUGAACGCCACAGCCACGGUGUUUUCUGUUCCGCUUAUUCAAGCGCCCACUGCCCUCACGGCCACCUGUCCCAUCUGACGGGGAUGGAGCUACUUCUGAAGCGCAGGUGGUCGGGCCCCUGCUCCGGGAAGCUGAACGGUCCUGUACCCAUUCUGUGGAAGAGGAGGCUGAGGCUGGGAAGUGGGGGCCCCCCCGCGGCUGUGGCCGGCGCUCCGCGGAGCUGAGGUCGGCCGGCUCUGGCUUCAGGUGGGGCUGGUGCGUCUCUCACGGCUUUCCAGCCCCUGCCUGGCGGCGCUCAGUUGUUCAGGGGCGCGUACAGGGUCUGACGGACGCGGGUCCCGCACGAGCCUGUCGUCCGCCCGGGGUGGUGGGUCCAGGGGUCCAGGGAGUCGCUCUGCAGGCACUGAGCCCCCGAACGAAUGAGUAAAAGGGUGUGCGGCUGGGGUCCUGGAGGAGAAGCCGCCCCCAAGUGCCCCCCCGCGUGCCACCCUGACAGGUUCCCCUCUCUGUGGGCAUCGCACCCGCCCACUGGAGAAAACCUGAGCCACGGAAAUCUCGUCGGUUUUUAAAACUGAAACGGCGCCGAAGGAGGGAGUCAUCUAGGAAUCCCGCCCCUGCCGCCGGUGCUAACGCUUUUCUCCUGGGCCCUCCCAGGCCGUGUUCGGCGAGACCCGAUUAUUUUCGGGCCGGGCCUAGAGUCACUGAGAGAGGAAUUUGACGAGUACGGUCUAGCCUUCUGGCAAGUGUUUCUCCGGCCCGGAACAUUCCGGCUGGCGGUCCCUCGGGGGUGUCUGUGCAGCCCCGUCGGCAGCCUGGGCAGCGAGUCGUGGGGAACUGCGGCCCCGCGGGCGCAGGGUCUGCACCCACAGUGUCUGCCGGCACCGCCAGGUCAGGAGACCCCGAAACCACACGCCCGAGAGCGCAAGGAAGCGUGUUCUCGUGAGCACGUUCUGGGCCGGGAGGUGGCUCCAUGUGGCCCUGGGGCCCCCUCGCCUUGGCGCCCGUGGUCGACGUCACAGCCGCGGGGGGCAGCACGCACCCUGUCCAUCUGUCCAUCUCUCCAUCUGGGAGAGGGCGGUCACGUCUACCCACAAAGGAGGCGGGGGCUGCAGCCGGCGACAGUGGUGCUCCCCUGCCGUGUGUUUGCCGUGGGCUCUCCCUGCUUCAUGCGUGACGACCUUGCUUCCGUCUGGCUGUGACGGUGACAUACCCGUGUGCACGUGCCCCCCAGCGUCCACGGUCGUGGCCUGCCUCGUCUCACGUGGCCAUUGCUCUGUGCGCCCCCGGGAAGGAAAUGCUGCUGGUCUCUCGGUGGAUGGUGGUCUCCCGACCGGUGCUGGCCCACCCAGACCCAUCCUUACUCCUUCCUGGGAACACCACCUGAUCCUCAGCCCCUCCCCCUGCUGCCCGUCCUCUCGGCUGGGCCUCUGUGAGCGUGCGACCUGUUUGGGCCAAUGCGGUGUGAGGGAAGGUUGCUGGGAGCUUCUGGAAGGUUUUCCUGCUGAGGAGAGAAGCUGCAGGAGGAAGCAGUGGGUUCUAUGCCUGCUGAUAGCAAGGGGAGACACUUGGCGACUCCCCGAACCGCGGCAGCUCCUGUGCCACCAUGAGGGCCUGAGGUCGCCAGAGCAGGACGCAGGGGUGAACCCCGGGCCCUGACACCUGUCUGGGCCACUGAAUCGGCUGCCCAUCUUCCGGUCCCACUGCCUCACAGAUACUCCAGGAGCCCUCAGGCCCCUGCAGCCAGCUUUGCAUCUGAACGGACGCUCUCGGGCUGGAGUGUCACUGAUUCUACACACGGGCCACAUCCAGUUCCACUGCGGGGUUUUGAAAGAGGAAGACAGUCCCAGUUGUAAAAUGGAAAUUACGUAAAUGGGACGGAAGGCGUGUAGGUCACGUGCACCAUAGUUAUAGGGCAUAAAUGUCAAAGAACUAGGUGGGCACAACGGGGCUCUGAGAAAAAUCACGCCCGUCUCAGCAGCCCAGGGCACGGAGGGCCCGCACGCGGUGCCGGGGUGACCUUCCCUGUGCCUCCCUGACGAUGUCGGAGCCCGCGAGUCCCCUCAGCUUUGCUUCCAGCCCAGGACUCUGUGCCUUCUGGGGUUGGGCAGGGAGCACGUGUGCUCCAGGCCCUGCCACCCUCGCCUCCCGGGCAGUGGCGGCAUCCGUCUGCUGUUUAGACGUCUGGCUCCAUCCAUCAGCUGGCUUCAUAAACACGCCAGACGCCCACGAGCCGAGCGGCCCCAUGGCCGGUGCAGGGGUGAGCACGGGGAUCCAGCUGCCGGCGGUGGGGGGGUGGGGGGGUGGCUGCCGAUCAGUGCCCGGAGAUUCCAGGCACGGCGGCACCAGCAGGGUCUUCUCACGGCGUCUCCCCCAGCCUGCGGUGAGGCGGGAGCCGGCCUGGCCGGCGACCUGAGCCGGGUAAACUGAGCCCCCCCGCCUUGGAUCAGGAUCACGUCUGUCGGUGCUGCCAGGGCACGGGGCCACGGACGCGCCUGACAGGCUGAGGGCCCGGGUGCCCCGGGGCAGCAGAGGGUACAGGGGCCCUCGUCCACCCCGGGCCUCAGCCCCCUCAGCAGCGGUGAAGGAGUCGGCAGCCUGUCCCAGAGGCUCGGUUAUUCCAGAGGCUGUUCAGCUUGGCCGCGCGGGGCUCAGCUGCAGGAGUGAUGCUGUUUAUGCACAUCCACCGAGCAGGGCUGAGCGCCAACUGGAUGCUCCGGGCAGUUUACAAAGCCUCACUUCUGAUCCUCACAGGUGUAGAGUCGGGGGGCUCCCCAGACAGGGGACUGGCCUGAGGCGCUUGGCAGGUGAGGGGGCCUGGGGUCAGAGCCCGUCUGCGGCUUCCCGCGUGUGAGGCGGCUCCGUGGGCUCCGUGUUAAUCAUUGAGCCUCUGCAGACCCCCCACCCCCGCUCGGGAGGGGCCCCCGCUGCUCCCUGGGGGCAUGACCUUAGACCACGCCCAUCCCACUGGAGCGCCAAGUCCUUGGGAGCUAGCCCGAGGUCAGCCUGGGGUGCCCCCAAAGAUUCUCCCCACUGCCCGGCCUGUGGUGGCCUCUGACCUCACACCCUUCUGUCUCCAAGGAGGAAACGCCUGACUUCAGUUUAGACAGGGAGCAGGCGGACGGGAGCUGGAGGGGGGGUUGGGCAUGCCCCCUCGCCUGUGACCCCCCAACUGCUGACCCUCACCUGUCCCUUGGCGU